UGUUAAAAAUCUCAUUCGUUUCUACUACUAAAAAUUAACAAAAUAACUAAACAGUUACUUAUGGCAUGCCAUAUGUACCUCAUUCUGACAUAUAGGAAUCAGUUUUUAACAGUAAAAAUGGAUGGAAUUUUUAAUA
rfam:Gossypium raimondii Chr10_contig_297, whole genome shotgun sequence.